rnacentral:lncRNA from 1 species
CAAUAUUGGUGGCCCAGCUUAUGAAAGAUUUUGAGAGACUUAGCAAAGGCAUUGGUAUGUUUUUUAUGCCCCAUUUAUGGGCAUUAUGUUUUCUGGUCUGUGCGUCCGUCCGUUCGUUCGUCUGUUCGUCCGUUCGUCCCGCUUCAGGUUAAAGUUUUUGGUCGAGGUAGUUUUUAUACGCCCGUUUACGGGAUGUAUUAUGGUAUACCUCUGUCCGUCUGUCCGUCCGUCGUCAACAUGUCGGACAUUAACUCAAAAAAGCUUAAACCAAUUUGCAUUAAACUUUGGUGAAUUGUUUAUAUCUAUUGACGUGAGCUCCCUUUCGAUUUUUAUAAAUUUUAGAUUUUACGUUUACGAGUUAUGGGAUUUUAUUCAUUAAAAAGGGGGGUUUCAGUUUUCGACAAUAACUCAAAAAUGCUGUCAGCAAUUCACAUGAAACUUUAGUGAAUGUUUAUAUCUAUUGAUGUAAGUCCCUUUUGAUUUUUAUAAAUUUUAAUUGACAUGAGAAUUAAUUGAACUUUAUUUGUUUAUAGUCUUGACACAGAUUUACUACAGUAUAGUGCAACAGCACAGUGUAUCGCACAACAGCAGAAAUCUUUAAUUGAAUAUAAAUUCAAUUCAUAUAACCAAUUCAAGUCUUUGACUAAUUUAUUCAGAAACCUAUUAUAUGUCAAAUAUUUAAUUACAAUCCAAUUCAGACCUGUAUCAAGCUUGAAUAUGUGUCCAUUUUUGCCCCAACUGUUCAGGGUUGGACCUCUGCGGCGUACUAGCUGCGCUCAACGAGCAGUUUAUUGAUGAAGUUGAAAUCCAAUCAACUUGAAACUUAGUAUACAUGUUCCUUAUGAUAUGAUCUCUCUAAUUUCAAUGCCAAAUUUAAUGCCAAAUUAGAGUUUUUACCCUAUUUUCACGCUCCACUGAACAUAGAAAAUGAUAAUGCGGAUGGGGCAUCUGUGUACUUGGGACACAUUCUUGUUGAUAAUGGGUCAGCAUAAGACUGUGUUAAUAUAUCUGUUCAAUUUUAGAAUUUAAAUAAAAGGACAUAUUGGAUAUAUAAGUCAAUGAAACAACAACCCUAUGGUAAAAACAUCCAAAAGACAUCUAAAGGGCUAGCUUUCCUGCUUAAAUUUUAUUAUUGGUUUCAAUAAAAAUUAAGAUGAUAAUUUUAUCAAUAUGAGUCAAGUACUAGAAGGAGUACCACUUGGUAAUUUUCACCGAAGUUAUGGCCUUUGGAGAAGUGAACUACACGGAAAACAGAAUAUAUCGUGAUUGUACUAAUCCUUGCAAUUGUUGAAGUUUUCAAUAACUUGAUAUGCAAGGUUUGUAAUACCAAUACCCAGGGUAUCUUAUUUAAUUUUGAAAACAAGUACUGUUUUUGUGAGUUAUUUCCCUUGGAAAUGUUAACUUUAUGGAAAGUCAAAACCUACAUGUAAACACUCAUUAGCGCUACAAAGCUGUAUUAUUUUUUUUUGGUGGUGUACACUUAAAUCAUGGAAUAAAGUAGGUUAUAUAAUACAAAAAGAAAAUAAUAUUUAAUAGAGAUGAUCUUUGGUAUUCAUUAUGGUUUUUCUAUUUUUUAAUUUUAGUAUUCUGAGUUCCUGACUAAGCUACUGUCCAAUGGUGAUGAAGUGUUCAAAUCCUUUGACUUUACACUGGGGGGAGACUUUAGUUUCCCUAAACAGGAUAUAACACUGUUUAAAUACAGUAUCCACAUGUUAGUGGGUGGAAUUAUACCAAUGCAGUUCU